rnacentral:rRNA from 1 species
GAUGAACGCUGGCGGCGUGCCUAACACAUGCAAGUCGAGCGGACACUUUCAAGCAGUAAUGUGAGGAGGUGUUAGCGGCGGACGGGUGAGUAACACGUGAGCAAUCUGCCUUCUGCAGGGGAAUAACAUUGUGAAAACAGUGCUAAUACCGCAUGACGUGGCACCGGGGCAUCCCGGAGCCACCAAAGGAGAGAUCCGGCAGGAGAUGAGCUCGCGUCCGAUUAGGUAGUUGGUGAGGUAACGGCCCACCAAGCCGACGAUCGGUAGCCGAACUGAGAGGUUGAUCGGCCACAUUGGGACUGAGACACGGCCCAGACUCCUACGGGAGGCAGCAGUGGGGAAUAUUGGGCAAUGGGGGAAACCCUGACCCAGCAACGCCGCGUGAAGGACGAAGGCCUUCGGUUGUAACUUACUUGUAUCAGGGACGAAAGCGAUGACGGUACCUGAAGAACAAGACCACGGCUAACUACGUGCCAGCAGCCGCGGUAAUACGU